CGCUGGCGGCAUGCCUUACACAUGCAAGUCGAACGGCAGCGCGGGGCAACCUGGCGGCGAGUGGCGAACGGGUGAGUAAUAUAUCGGAACGUACCCUGGAGUGGGGGAUAACGUAGCGAAAGUUACGCUAAUACCGCAUACGAUCUAAGGAUGAAAGUGGGGGCUCGCAAGACCUCAUGCUCCUGGAGCGGCCGAUAUCUGAUUAGCUAGUUAGUGGGGUAAAGGCCCACCAAGGCAUCGAUCAGUAGCUGGUCUGAGAGGACGACCAGCCACACUGGAACUGAGACACGGUCCAGACUCCUGCGGGAGGCAGCAGUGGGGAAUUUUGGACAAUGGGCGAAAGCCUGAUCCAGCAAUGCCGCGUGAGUGAAGAAGGCCUUCGGGUUGUAAAGCUCUUUUGUCAGGGAAGAAACGGUGGUUUCUAAUACAGAUCACUAAUGACGGUACCUGAAGAAUAAGCACCGGCUAACUACGUGCCAGCAGCCGCGGUAAUACGUAGGGUGCAAGCGUUAAUCGGAAUUACUGGGCGUAAAGCGUGCGCAGGCGGUUUUGUAAGUCUGACGUGAAAUCCCCGGGCUCAACCUGGGAAUUGCGUUGGAGACUGCAAGGCUAGAAUCUGGCAGAGGGGGGUAGAAUUCCACGUGUAGCAGUGAAAUGCGUAGAUAUGUGGAGGGACACCGAUGGCGAAGGCAGCCCCCUGGGCUAAGAUUGACGCUCAUGCACGAAAGCG
rnacentral:rRNA from 1 species